UACUCAAGGUGUUUUACUCCUGCUCCCGCCGUUUCCUUCAUUUGAGUCAUACACAUGAUUGUUUUUGGUAUAAUUUGAGUUUUGUUCAUACAAAAUCAAUCAAAAAUUCACAAUGAGAAGAUCAAAUGCUCCAUCAGCUUUGCGCUCUAAAUUGACGGUGACCUCAUCUUCAGUCACCCCUAAUCAACAGCAAAGGAAUGCUUCGUUUAACGCCCUGAAAGCUUUGAAUGCAAAAUCGGCCAAAUCACCACCACAACCAAAUGAAGAGGAACCAGAAGGCGAUGCAAAGCGCAGUGCCAGCAGGAUUUUGAGCCUACUUGGAGGGAAUGUGACUCAGCCAUCAAGUGAAGAAGAAAGUCUGCCUGUGGAAAGCGUCCAGAAAAAUGUUCCAGUCCAGCAUAAAACUCAUCCCAUCAAAUUACCUGCUUUGGGAAAUAAUAGCCUUGAUUUUAAGGAUGAGACAAUUAUCAAAGAAAAAAAAUUGUCAGAGAAAAGAAUCUAUGAGGCUGUCUACAGAAAAAUGCAGACAAAAAAGCACAAGACCUGGGAAGGUGAUGGGUCAGUUGUGGUUGACGGCCGCUGUGUCAUUCUAAAGGACGAGAAUGGUAAAGAGAUGGGCAGAAUUUCUAAAGUGAAAGAUGACAUUGUACUUGAAGAGGGUACUCAACUCGUAAUCGGUGGAAAGGAAGUUGAGUUUCUGGGACUUGUCAGCAAAGUGGUUGUCGAGGCGGAGAAGAGAAAGCCAGAUUCAACCUUCGCUCAGCCCAAUCGAAAAAGGUUUCAACUAAGCAGAGAAAAUGACGUGAAUGAAGAAUGGUACCUAGAAAUGCCCAAGCCAAGCCCAAAACACCAGUUGAUAUUUAAUCCCGAAGGGCGCCCAGUUAACACAGUGACAGUUGAUGGAUUUUUGGCACGGCACUUACGUCCUCAUCAAAAAGAGGGAGUAAGGUUCAUGUACGAGUGUCUCAUGGGGAUGACAGGCGAUGAGCCUGGAAAAUAUCAGGGCUUGUUAUUGGCUGAUGAAAUGGGUCUCGGCAAAACCAUUCAAUGCAUUGCUGUGAUGUGGACGCUUCUAAAACAAAAUGUCUAUGGAAGGGAUCCUGUGAUUAAAAAAGUGUUGAUUGUCACGCCAAGCUCUCUAGUUAAAAACUGGGACCGUGAAAUCAUUCAUUGGCUGAAGAUUCAUCGUUUGCGAGUCUUCAUCGUAGGAGACAAAAAGUUUAAAGAUUAUGGGACAACCAGACAAGAUCCUGUUGUGAUCUGCUCAUACGAAGCCUUGAUUAGAAACAUUGAUUAUGUCUGUCAACUCCGUUGGGACUUGCUCAUCUGCGACGAAGCUCACAGAAUAAAGAACCCUCAAGCAAAAACUUCACAAGAACUGCGGCGCUUGCAGUGCAAACGCAAAAUCCUCUUAAGCGGCAGUCCGUGUCAAAACAACAUGAUGGAAUAUUUUGAGCUCUUGGAUUUUGCAAAUCCUGGGAUUUUUGGAACUCGACGAGAUUUCAUGACUCAGUUUGCAACUCCCAUCGAGAGAGGCAACCUUGCUGACUGCAAAGACGAGGAAAAAGAAUUAGGCAAAGACAGGAAAGAAGAGCUUUUGAGACUGACUUCACCUUUUGUGCUUGGCCGCCCUGCAGAACUCAAUCUGCAGUACUUGCCACCAAAACAGGAUCUCAUUCUUUACUGUGCUGCCAGUCCGUUGCAGGAGGAUUUGUAUCGCUCAACUCUCAGUUUUUACUGGGGCGAUGACGAGGUCUGGAAAGAAAUGGACAUAUCAACAGCAAACAAAAACGCGUUGGGAGCCAUCAUUAGCCUUAGGCAAAUUUGCAGUCAUCCGCAACUUAUGAAACUCCGACCAGAAGACUUGGAAAACGAAGAGGGUAAAUUGAGGAGGCAGUUACAACAGGAGCUCCAGUCAGGAGGACAUCACUUUGACUUUGUCGAUAUGUCAGGGAAACUCAAAGUUGUUGCUUCGAUCCUUGAGUUUCUGCAUGAGGCUAACAAGGAGAAGAUUGCUGCAGGCCAUAGAAGUCAGAUUGACCGAGUGCUGGUGGUAUCGUACUUUGUUGAGACUCUGAAAAUUCUCCAGAAGCUGUGUGAGCAGAAAAACUUUACAUUCAGCAAGAUUGAUGGGCAAGUGCCUUCAAAAGACAGGAUGAAAAUUGUGACUGAUUUUAACAAUCCCAAUUCAAAAACAUUUGUUAUGCUUCUUAGUGCCAAAGCUGGUGGUACCGGCUUGAAUCUGGACGGCGCCUCUCGAGUGAUUCUUUUCGACUUGGACUGGAAUCCAGCAAGUGAUGCUCAGUCACUUGCUAGGGUCUGGAGAGGAAGGCAGAAGAGACCUGUGAUCACAUAUAGACUUCUAACCUCUGGGAGUAUUGAGGAGAAAAUCUUCCAGAGACAAAUCCAAAAGAUGGGAAAUGAUCCAUCUAAAAGUACAAAAUCUGGCCUGAAAUUCACCAAGCAAGAGCUAAAGGAUUUAUUCUCAUAUAACCCUUAUGAGGAAGGCAAAAACCAAACGCAUUCCGUUUUGUCUUGUGAAUGUGUCUGUGAUGGUUCCAAUGUCACCUCGGAGCAAUCUCACGGUGACAGCUUCUUCGAAUUAAACCAAGAAGAUCAGCUUGAUUGUCGCUUUCCUCACAUAAACGAACUCUCCCUCUGGCAGCACAUUAGCUGUGAAAAUUUUGACCAACAACUUCUGGACGAUCUCAAUCUCACCUAUGCAUCAGGAGUCAUCAACUUCAUUUUUCGCUCGCAGUUAUUGUCAAGCAAAUAAAAAUGAUUUUAUCGCUCGUCGCAUGUAAUUUGGGUUGAGUUUUUAAAACUACCAGGCUGGCAGUGGCAUUGAAAGUCACGAUCGUCACUGUGACGUUUUCAAACGAGAGCGGACGUUUGCUCCAGCACUAGCUUUGAGUGUCUCUGUUGCCAACUCCAACCUCGCAUCACAAAAUAUGCCAAAAACUGCGUUUUCUAAGUUCCCAAAAAUGUGAGAAACCAAAAUGUUGCGGUCCGUGGUAAUCCUGCUGGUAUUCUGGUCAUUGUCUGCAAGCGGCGCAAAUUUAUUUGAAAUUUUGCAAGCAAUUAUAGCCACAAACGACUCCUCUAAUAUGGACGACAUUAUGUCCAGAAUGCAGCAACAGGUUUUGAUACCUAACAAUAAGAGUAACUCGAAAAAUUCCACUGCCGAGGAGGACGAUAAAGAGUGGCAGUCCGACAAGGGCAAAUUUGUCAUGCGAAUGCCCCCAUGGACCAAAAGCAACAGCAGAGCAAAUGAAGUUGACCGAUCAAAAGUUAUCCAAGUGGCUGCAAGCAAUAUGCAGGAUUAUGAUCUUGAGGAAAGCUUCGAGCGACCUGUAAUCGCAGCAACCUCGCCCGAUCCUUGGGCCACUGGUAGAGACCUAGAGACUAUUUCUCAAUAAAUCCACCCAUCUUGCAUCAACCAGCACAAUUAGAAGUCCUGCGACUGGGGAAGAUGAUGAUGAGAAAGAAGAACCCACACUUCCUAUGCUGCCCGAGCUUCCAGUGGGAACUCCAGCUUUUGACGUAUUUGCUGGGAAAAAGCUCACUUCCAAAACGCAAAGCAAAACCACUAUGACAACCACAAAAAAUUACAUCAAAUUUACCAAAACAUUAGCAGGCAAUUCUUGGGGAAGAGUGUCAAGAUAUACUACUAAAAGUGGACGACAAACCACAACAUUUUUAAAUAAACUCGAAGACACAACUGUGUCCAAUGGCAGCGAGUCAGACACCGAAUCGAAUACAAGUUACUUUGAAUUUGAGAAUUCCGACCAACGCAGUGAAGGCAGAAAUUAUGACGACUCGGGCAGUGAAAUUGACGAAGUAACAACUUUACUUGAUGAAAACAAUGUGAGCGUUACUGUUUUUAAUGAAGACGAUGCAAAAAACGUGCAAGGCCGUUCGCUAAAUGAAAAUGUAUAUGGGAAAACGUUAAGGGAUGAGUUUGCACCUCGCAGAACAACCACUGAGCAAGACCUGAGGCAGUUUGGUGCAGAAUUUUUACCACCAAAUUGGGGAAAGAAGGACACGACAGUGUCAAAACAAGAAGGCAUUUUAAAAACGACGCGGUUUGAUUCCAAACGGAAAGUUAAGUUAAAAAUUAAUGAUCACAGUGGCUUGCAUAUGCAAGAGAAGUUUAAAUAAUAUUUUAUGUAGUAAAUUAUCGUUUUAUUUUAUGCAAAUAUAUCCUCUUCAGUUUAUAUGAGUGCAACUCUGAGAAUGAAUGAUCUAUUUAAAAUUUAAUUAGUUAUUACUAAUUUAUUUACUUGUAAAGAAUUGAAGCAGUUGCAAAGUUUUAGAAAAGUGCAAUUAACAAAAUUUAUAUGCGCAUGAAUUUUAUGACAUAAAAUGUUUUCACUGAUAAUUUGGGUGACUUCACAAUUUACUUCUGCACUUAUACUCGUCAAGUUAAGGUUUGCUGGUAGCAAAUUUUCACUAGUAGAUUUAUGCCGUGUUAUGCAACUGGCACGACAGCCUUGUUGGCCAGGUUGCAUUUGGUUGCAAAACAAUGAAAUCAGAAUGGAAAUUUGAAAUCAUUAUAAGCGUACAGUAU